GAUGAACGCUGGCGGCGUGCCUAAUACAUGCCAGUCGAGCGAACAGACGAGGAGCUUGCUCCUCUGACGUUAGCGGCGGACGGGUGAGUAACACGUGGAUAACCUACCUAUAAGACUGGGAUAACUUCGGGAAACCGGAGCUAAUACCGGAUAAUAUAUUGAACCGCAUGGUUCAAUAGUGAAAGACGGUUUUGCUGUCACUUAUAGAUGGAUCUGCGCCGCAUUAGCUAGUUGGUAAGGUAACGGCUUACCAAGGCGACGAUGCGUAGCCGACCUGAGAGGGUGAUCGGCCACACUGGAACUGAGACACGGUCCAUACUCCUACGGGAGGCAGCAGUAGGGAAUCUUCCGCAAUGGGCGAAAGCUUGACGGAGCAACGCCGCGUCAGUGAUGAAGGUCUUCGGAUCGUAAAACUCUGUUAUUAGGGAAGAACAAAUGUGUAAGUAACUAUGCACGUCUUGACGGUACCUAAUCAGAAAGCCACGGCUAACUACGUG
rnacentral:rRNA from 1 species